UUCCCCUCGGCUCCUGUUCCAGCGACACGAUAUGAUUCACCAGCAAGGAGGGACGCCAAUAAGGCGUCCUAUAAGAUAAGUUCCAUAAGAUAUAUAGAUGUAUGGUAAUUGAGACUGAGCUAACAAAUGAGAAUCCUAGUCAUUGGCCAAGCAGCUUUGUAACUAAUACAAGUCUCUCUGUGUAUUCAUUUGGGCCUAACUCGGGCGGGCGACUGGCAUAAAGCUCACACGUGACGGUGGGGCUCAGGAGGCUUUUGGCAAAAAGAUUUAUUGUAACAUCCUAGCCUAAAGAUUGGAUGAAACCUACCUGGCUAAGAGACCAGCCCUCAGGAAGUCAGAUUCACAUUAAGCCAUUCUACUAAGAUCGGAAGGUAUAACUUCCCCUUUUUCUUCUUUUCUGUCUCUUUUGGAUGCUGACCAGGGCAUCUGUCUUUUGUGCCCCUAUGGGCUUCCUUACUUUUUCUCUGAAACUGUCUUUCUGCCAUGAGACUACUUGUCCACCAGGUGCUGACCUCUGUGCUACCUUGGUUUAAUUGAUACGGCUUUCUCUCUUCCUCCUGGUCUCCAUCUCCCUCUUUGAGCAGCUGCCAAGAUUUAUAGCUUGCCUGCCCUAGGGAUUUUCUUUCAAACUCUAACACAAUUGUUCACAAACUUCUAUUGGGCCCAUUCUUAAAUUAUUUUUUUUAACAAGACCAAGAGCUCCCAAGUGAUACCCCCAAAUUUCCCAGUGGGAGUUUAGCUCACAUCUGAAUAACAUGGAGGAGGAUAUCACAAUACACAUUCCUCCCCUCCCCACUGUGAUUCUGUCAGAAGCCCUGGACCUGGGCCAUAGGAAUUGGUAUUUUGGCCAGGAGAUUCUGCCAGAGAUCCACGGGCUACUUGGGAAUCAUUAUUUUAGGAUAAUUCUCCACCUAGACCCAAUGUGGUAGCUAACGCAUUUAAUUACAAUGCUCUAGGAUGGGUGGAUGAAAGAAAGGCCUAGAAGACAACAGAAGGACAGAUGAAGGGAAGAGCCACACAGCAAUGAAAGUUAAUCACACAUUGAACCAAGCAAACGGCAAGGUGCUUUUAAAUAGAAUGUGGGUGAGAAACCCUUCAUACAUAUACUCUAAUAACAUACAAGUAGGAUGACUCACUUAUCUAUUGAGUCUCACUGGCUGUUACCUGACAGAGGGGUGUGCUUAGUCCUUUGUAUUGGGGGAGGGGGGAGAGGUCAGAGCUAAUCCAAAUACAUUGCAAAUAAAUGACAGCUCCUGGUUUCCAACCUGGUUCUUGGCUGAAGUCAAAGCAUGGGCUUUAGUCACCAUGGUGGUGUGUUGUAGCUAAGUUCAGUAGAAAAAGAAAUCCAUCAAUGUAAUAUGAUAGUCACUAGGAGAAUGAUUGGCUAAUAAGACCACCCUAAAAUUGAUUACCAGAUCCUUUUGUGGUUAAGAAGAAUCAUCUGUCUCAGAGGUAGAGAGAUGGCUCAGCAGUUAAGAGCACUGACUGAUCUUCCAGAGGAUCCAGGUUCAGUUACCAGCACACACUGCAACUCAUAACCAUCUCAGUUCCCUGUCACAUACAGAACCUUUACUCUGCAUUCAUUCUAACAGAAUAACGAGCACAAACAAGAAGCAAUGGUUGCUAGAGUCUGGUGUCUACAUAAGGUUUUGAAAACGUGCAACAUAUAAAUAACUGCUUAACAACAGAUAACUGGGGGCUCUGCUAUUGUCAGAGAACAGCCUGAACAAUUGUUUUCUGAACAGAUGAACUCUGAUUCUUGCAUGAGUCACUUGAUCAGUAAGUAGGGGCUGUGGACUGUAAAUUCACCGACUUGAGUAAAAAUCAUGAAUGCAAGGCACGGACCUGCCUUCAGGCUCUCUUGUUUGGGAAGACAGGUUAGUGGGAAGGGAUGAUGUAAGACAGUGGGAUGUUCGGGCCAUCAGGUAGCAGAAAAUCAGAGAUGUGGGAGAGGGCUGAAGUGGGCUACAGUUGUCAAGGGAAGCUCUGAGGAAGAGGUAGAAUUUGCACACUUUAGGAUUUGGAGAUCAAGAGAAGCUUGCACAGAAGGCAUUCCAGGACAGAGGCAGGCAAAGGGUGUCUCUGCUUGCUGCUUGUCAAUGUCUUCCAGGACUGUAAAGAUGAAGCCUUCAGACUUCUCCAAGUCUUCACAGAAAAUCAGCCAGUGCACACAGAUACAUAAAGCACCAGGACAUUAAAUGAUGUCAAAGGGUAUAAGUUAAGUAUUAUAGUUUUUCUUAAAAAAAAAAAAAACAACCCAGCAUCUUAUAUUCUAAACAGCAUAAAAAUUAGAAGACUUGCCUGCUAAAUAGAGCCCACCCUCCCCUUUGCUUGGACAUUUUCAAAAUGUUUAGUUGUAGAAGAAAUAGUUAUUUGAACUCCUAAGCCUGGAGCUCACUGGAUUGGCUAGGCUGGCUGGCCAGCAAGUCCCAGCGAUCCUCCUGUUUCUCCCCUUCCAGUGCUGGGGAGUCUGAACUCAGGACCUCAUGCUUAUGUUGUUGCACUUUCCUGAACCAGCUACCUAGCUCCCCAAUGCUGUUUUGCAUUUUCUUUUAAAAGACAAGAUCUUAUUAUAUAGCCCAGGAUGGCCUAAAAUUCAGAAUUCUCUUGUCUUAGUUUCUUGGCAAACACUCUUUUAUAAGUGUGAUUAUUUCCUGUUGCUCUAUAACCAAACAGCUGUGUUUAGAAUGGAUGAGUACGAUUCCAUUAUAAUUAAAAAUAUCACAAACCUGCCAUUUGGGGAGAAAAUUUUGAAACACUGGAAAUGGCUGAGAAGACAAUUUGGAUUCCAUUUGAUCAUGAAGGGGCAGUAUUCUGCAAUUCAGGUGAAAGCUGUGGUAGUACUGUACACCUACAUGAAAGCAGGAUUUUGACUAGUAAUUUGGCUUCUAGGUAAUAUAUUAUGACUUACAGAAUAAAUUAAUCUUUUUUUCUCUCUCCUAAAGAACACAAGGCCACAUCCAGUGCCAAGUCUUCUCCCCAGAAUUGCUUGGCCAUGUUCCCAGAUGAUCCAACAGCCUUGCAAAUGCAACUCAUCAACCUAUUUGUUAGCUUCCAGGAAGACCGGAAGGAACAGAAGUCAUCAAGUGAUCCUCCUGUUUGAUCAAUAGCCUCCUCCUCCUUCCAUCCCUGCUUUCCAAAACCCACACAAAGACUCCGAGAACAAGUCUAUGCUAGACAGUACUGACUCAAAUGGUCAAAGUUAGUGCUGGAGCAAAGCAUGGUCACUCAAUGGAAAGUGAGCAUUGGACCAACGCUGCUUCAUGGCUUUCAGGAGAAUUUGGGAGAGAAUUCUGAGUGCACAGACUCUGUCUAAUUGGUGUCUUGAGUAAAAAAGAGGCAGAUGGAGAACUCAUUAAUGGCCACACUUUUAGUGUGUGGACUGAGAAAUAGAAAUGACAAUGACAAAGACAACAGAUUAGAGGAGCAGAUGUGAAGAGAACAGGGUGAAUUAAUCGUGUGUGUGUGUGUGUGUGUGUGUGUGUGUGUGUGUGUGUGUGUGUGUGUUUCAAUGGGCAGUGGUUCAUAUAUGUAUGAGGAUGUUCAUGCAUGUGGAGCCAGAGUUCAAGGUUGGGUGUCUUUCUCGAUCAUUUUCCACCAUACUAAGGCAGAGUCUUUUACAUGAACCCAGAGCUUUCUAGAUCAGCUAUUCUAGCUAACUGGCUUGUUCCAGGGAUCUCCUGUCUCCACCUCCUGAACAAUGGGAUUACAAAUAGUUACUUACCCAGCUUUUAUGUGGGUGCUGGGGAUUUGAACUCUGACCCUCAUGCUUGCACAGCAACCACUUUACCCACUGGACCAUCUCCCCAGUUUCUACCCAUAGUUUUUAUUGUGACAAAAUAUAUCUAGCAUGACAUUUACCAUGUUAGCCAUUUGGGUUAUAUAAUUUGGUGAAUUAAUUUACAUACACAUAGUUGUGUAGUCAUCACCUCUGUGCAUCUCUAGACCUUGUGGGGUAUAUAAUUUGAUGAAUUAAUUUAUAUACACAUAGGUGUGUAACCAUCACCUCUGUGCAUCUCUAGACCUUGGUUUCAAAACUUAGAUGCAUGAAACAGUGGCUCUCUACCUCUCAGCUCCUAAUCCCUGGGUAACUACUAGUCUCUGGAUUUUACUAAUGUGGGAAUUAAUCAUUCUUACCAGAUGACUGCUGGGAGUUAUGUUUGUUGUUUCCCAGAUCCAAAACCACAUUGCAGUACGUGCUCUGCAUAAUGGAUAAGGCUCCAUUAAGCGUCCUUCCUUCAGAGUGUAAGCCACAGGGAGCUUUCCCAUUAGAAGGCACUGGAGGGAUAAUACAAAGAAAGGGGCUCUCCUGUUUCUAGCGUCAGCAGUGUGCCUCUGUCUCCGUUUCUGUGUCUCUGUCUCUCUGUCAUCACUCCCCCCCCAAUGUGUGUGAGUUCACUUGUAAGUUUGUUGCCUACUGCUGCCUAUAUGUCUGAGAUCUGUCAGGCCUUUUAAUUCUUCAGCUGGCAGAGAGAAUGGACCUGAUCAAGAUCCUAGAUAGUAGCAGUUUCAUCAUCACUGCAGAGAUACUCUGAGAGGAUCUCUCCACCCAUCCUCUUUCAUCUAGAAGUGCAAAGCUGGAAAAGACAUGUCCUUUAGAAAGAGCAGCAGCUCCAUCCCUUUCAGCUCUGCCAUAGAGAGCGGUGAUUAAAUUGGGUUCAAAUCAAUCAGAAUGGAUGGUGAAACAAGAGUGGAUGCUGGGACCAGUCAGAAGAGAGGCUGAAGGAAACAACAGAGACACUGGCUAGCCACAGUGGUCCAUCUGUGACGGUUCCAGCAGAUGCCAGCUCUGUAGCUGUGGGAGCCCAGAUUUGAGAUAUUAGGAAGGACUGUGGCAGAGUCCCUGCUGCUCUGACUUCAGUCAAAUCUUCCCAGCUCAUUGAUGGCCUAUAAAGAGAAUGAAAUAACUGGCAAGCAGCUAGGAAAAUUUCUAGAAUAUUUCCAGUGAUGCCUACUCCUUUGCUAGCCUUACCUAUUUCUAUAUAGCAAUACAGUUUUUUUUAGGCUACCAGGCCAAAGAAGUGAGUCACUAAUUUCCCAUUUUACUCCAACAGUCCCCAUUUGCAUUACUAGAAAAUCCUGGCCACUCCACUUUCAGGGUAUGUCCACAAUCUAACCACUUUCAUGGCACAGCCAUCAUCACCUCUUGCUUAGAUUCUGCCAUCAGUUCCUCACUGGUGUCUUAUGCCUUUAUGGUCCAUUCUCAGAUUGACAGAGGGGGGAUCCAGUGGAACAGAAAUCUGGUUUUGAGACUCCUCUUUUAGACAUUCACCAAUGGUUUUUCAUCUCAGCAAAAGCCAAAGGACAUAUAUUAGCCUUCAAGACCUUAUACUAGCAAGAUGAUGAAUUUAGUCUCUUCUUGCCUCUGAGCCUUUUCACAGGCUGGUCCUCUUGCAGAGUCUAUUAACUCUCAACCUAGUCAACGCCUAUUCAUUCUCUUGGUCUCAUGAUGAUUAUUUCCUCAGGAAAGCCUGCCUCAAAUCCUCAUGUUCAGGCUCUCCAAUAGCCGAUGCUCUUUUUUAAAAGACACAAACAGUACAGGUUAUCAUUCCAUGUUUAUGUAACUACUAGUUUCAUGCCUCUUUUUCCCUGUGUACUGUAUACUCAAUGAGACUGCAAGCACCCAACAGAUCAUUUGGCGCAGUCUGGCCUCAGGUUCAAGCAAGCCCUUUGUAGAGAGACUUGUGUCAAACAGGAAGCAGCAUGAAGAAAAGCCUUCCGCGCGAUGUGUCAAGCCUUCCAGGAAAGACUUAGCUAUGAAGAUAUUUUUAUUCCUUUCUAAACCCACAAGGUCUAUAAAGCACUGCCUCCCGGGAAUGGUCGGCAGCCCCGUUAGCAGAAUACAGCUGAGAAGAUUAAAAAGCCAUCCAGGAGAGCUGGACCAAGGAACCUCACUCUGUCCUCAUUCUUCUCAGCCCAGGCCUGGUGACAAUUCCCUUCUAAGCAGCUCUUAGAACACAGGAAGAAGGCUGACAAAAGAAUCUUUUGGAAAUGGAGAAGAGUUACAAGCACCUUGAAGAGAAAGGACAGCAAUGGGAAAGAUCGGAUCAAGAAGAAAAGGAUCAUUUAUGGUCCAGAAUUCAGGAAUCCACGGAGGUGAAAAGUGAAGAGCACAAGAGACCUCUGUAUCGGUGGGGCUGGGACAGGCCCACACAAGACGGUACAGGCCGGGCAAUCAGAGGAAGGCACCAGAGUCUAAGGGUUGACAGCUGUGAACACACUUUGAAAGCAGGUGUCCUGAGGGACUGGGGUUCCUUUGAGGAUCGGUGUAGAAGUACAUUAGCAGCCACUAAGCCAUGUGGCUUCACACUUUAGUAGAGGAGCGGCCUGCCAGUUUGAGGUAAUGAGAAGGGUGUGCAAAGACCCGCCAUCUCUCCAUGGCUCUCCCUAAUAAUGAGAUGUAUGAUGAGGAGAAUAGACAAUUGAGGUUAGAGGUCAGCAGAGCUGCAGUCCAUUCCUAUUGUCACAAACACCCCUGAUUGUCAGUGUGACUUGCUUCAGCCAAUGUUGGCCAAAUAGCCCCGGGACGAAAGGGGUACCUUCCCCAAUAUAAACACUUCAUCAGAGGAGCAUCUCUUUAGAAAAGGGGCCUGCAAUACCCUGGGACUGGGACUGGGCCUGCAAUGAGAAGACAUGGUUUUCUGUGUGCAGAAACAGAGAACUUCUUUCCUUUAAAAAAAAAAAAAUUAACCCAGGUGGAAGAACUAUGGAACAAUGUUGAUUGUGAUCAUUCUUUUGUCUGUGUGUCACAUUUUCUCUUAUCUAGUCACUGAACUAUGACAUCCCAAUGUCUUCUAGCUGUUUCUGACCCACAGAGUCCUAUCUCUGUGCUAAUGACUAACUAGCAAACUGCCCCUGGUGUCAGCAAUAAUCAGUGUGCCCACAGCAUUACAAACCAGGGCUUCAAGGAAACCACAGAUAGUUCCCAGCUGAUCCAGCUGCUGCUGAGGCUGGAGCACCUCCAAGUGUAAUCAUCAAAAAUCAGCAUCCCCCAGGCUUUUGCUCGAUGCACCAGGCUCCGAGAGACAAGCACGUUGGCCAGGCUCUUGCAAUGUUUGGAAAGAUGCUGUAGCUUUGAAAAGAGCCCAGGCAUUGAAAUACUUGCAAUUUCUCAGACAGUGAAGAUUGAGACACAUGUGUGACCCAUCUUCUCUUACUCAGGUCUGGGGUCUAUAAAUACCCUGGAAGAGAAGGUAGUCCAUAGUUGAACCUCAAAGAACCAAAAGCCUACAACCUUGAGGAAUAGAAAAACUCGAAGGCAAUGAGAGGGAAAGCAAGUGGAGUGUGGAGCCCAAGAGUGUUUGGCCUGACUUGAUGGCUGGCCUUGGCAGAAGAAGGGGAAACUCUCACAAGGGCGUUUCCUUCUUGGAGUUGAAGCUGGGAUCAGAGCCCUCAAUUUGGAGCUUCAGGGCUUGUUUAAGGUUCAGCUCAGUCUCUGAGGGAGGGAACCCCUCCAGCACCUCCUGAUGCCCUCGCUCCUGCACUGUUCGAGAGACAGAGACCCUGCCCAGGAACACCUGGUUGAUCUGCAGAUGGUUUUUUCUGGAUACACUGAGGAAAUCCUUUGGAAUUUAUUCUUAGUUAUCAAGACCCCACAUUGUGACCAUAUGAUACUGUUUGAUACCAGGAAUGUAAUUCUUCUCCAAUGAGCCAAGUAUUGACUGCAUGCCUAGCCUAAAUCAAGCAACAUAGUUAUUCAGUUUUCUUCAUUUGCUUCUUAGUCCAUCUCAUCAGUAUGUGCUUAGCUGAGUGGGCAAACUAUGAUCAGGCCAAGAAAGAGGACUGGAUGAAUUCUCCUGAUUCUGCUUGGCCUGAAGAAACUGUCCCUGGCCAAUUUCUCAACAUCAAAAGUUUUAGAAUGAAUAUAUCACAUAAAGGAAGAAAUAAAAAUAUUGGCAAACUGGGGGUUUGGCAUCUGUUGCAGAUGAUGUUAUGUUAACUUUGGCUAAUUACAUUCAUGGUGCUUUAUGAGCAGUUGUCUCUGUUGCGGCUUCCUAACACAUUCUUACCGGAACCCUAACUGGUGCUCAUGGAGUCUAUAAAAUGAAGGAGAAUAAGCUGUCUUCCCAGCUAAGGGACACAGGAUGCCAAGUGCAGGACUAAUCUGUAGCAGAGGCCACAUCCCAAGGAUGAGUGCACUGGGACUGAAGGGAUUCUCUAUCCUCAUGAGCUUGGUCCUCUUCUUGCUGCAUUCUCUCUGUAUCUAAUGCCCUAGAAAUGACAGGAAUUCUUGGAAUUCCUCAGCCCAGGCAAGAUGAGUGGGGCAUGACACGAUAGACUGGAAACAGAGGAGGCCAUGACCUGCAGAUAAGAGACCCAUGAGGGGAAUGUAACUUCAGAGAAGAGCUCAUAAGAAAACAAGUUCAAAAUAUGUUCUCCACAGUACUGUUUUUAAGGAAAAACUCAAAGAAGCAAGAAGUACAGAAGGGUACAUGAGAACCAGAGAUUCCAUGGUGGGAACCAUGAUGGAAUAUUGUACAGCUAUAAAAAAAAAAACAAAUUUAUCAGCUGCAAUGUAGAAAUGUUCAUAUAGAAGAGUAUAGAGUCACAAUAAUCAGUUAACAUCUGUCUAUGUGUUCAAAUAUUAAACAAAAUGGUAUGAGAUCCCUCACAACCCGAGAGAUCAAAUUACUAAUGGACUUACCAUGUUUUAAAUAGACUGCAUUUCUUUAACACGGACAUCCCUUCAGCCUCCUGUACUGGCCCCAUACUUCUGAGCCUCCUCCUCAACAGAGUCGAUGCGUUUCCCAAGGUUCUCACUCUGUUCAUGUCUCACACACAACCCCCUCCUUUCUGUGUUUCAGCCACACAGCCCUUUCGGAUCCUCAGAACCUCCUAGGUCUUGAGGUCUAUGCACUCCCUACUGCCUGGAGGUUCCUGGCCUCAAGUCUAUGAAUGUCACAGUUUCAUGGUCACAUGGUUCUACCAUUAUCUUCACACCUGGCAGCUUGCUUUGUUAGACUCAGACCCCUUGAAAGCUUUGUAAUUAUAUGUGAAUCAUGGUUUCUCCUAAAAGGAUGGGAAGCUUCAUGAGGAAUGUGAUGCUUAGCUUUAUCUGCCAACUCGAUUGGAGUGAAAAGUCUUGCCUCCCUCGGACAGGAAAAUUCUUCUUCUCUGACUGCCUUUGGGCCAAGACACUGGCUUCUUCCCAUCUCAAACCAAACCCAGCUGACUCAAAGCUUGCUGACUUCCAGACGGUUACCCCAGUCUUCUGGGCUCUCUCAAGCUUACAAUCCAAUCUGCAAAUUUGGCCAUUUUCUCUGAUUCCUUUCAUUGAAACUUUCUAGAGAAAAAUACAUUCUUUUGUUUGUGUUUUUCAAGAAGACCUGCCUAAUAUAAGAAAUGCUAUCUGGACUGCUUGCACCAUAUGCCAACAUAGUGAUUGCUCAAGCUGAUUGAAUAAUAAGAUUUUAUUGAAUAAAUGUAUCAACAGAUAGAUAAGGAUGGGAAUACAAUUCAGUGAUAAUAAUUUUACAUACUAUAUGUAAUAUAUGUAGGUUAUUGAACAUUUUAUAAUCAUUUAGUGUGGCCACAUCUUUUCAGAGACAUUUCAAUUAUAAUAAGCGGGGUUUUUUAUCUCAUUCUUGGACCUCUAUGAGGUUGGCAUUAUUCCAGCUUCACAACUGAAUAAAGUUAAUGAAUCUGUCCAUGCUCACACAGAACAAAGUCUGGGAUGAAGACAAGCAAGGUUGAACUACGUGGACAGCACAAUGGCGACUAUAAGCUGCACUGGAGAGUGCUAGAGGGCUUGCCAGGGCAGAAACUAGACUUUGCUUUAUCUUCUUGCUGCUCAGCAAUGGUGAGAGGUGAUGGUGCUCCAGUCUGGGAAGGAGAUGCUGGUGGGGCUGCAAUAGUGAGGAAACGGUUGAUGAAGUUUAGACGUGACUCUUGGCUCAUUUUUUCAUAUGCAGUCUACAGUUGUUAUUGCCUCAUUUUCAAGGGUAUUCUGUUGAUCAUAUAGUAGUCAUAUCAAACUCUUAAUUAAGAGAGUCACAUUAAGUGACUUCAUAGUCACCAGGACUACUUGUAACACAACAGAAUGGCUAGAACAUAAGUUGUGCCUCAAGGUGUGGUCAGAAAAGCCAAAAGACACAGAGAUGUCAAGGAGAGUCUACAGUAUAUACUAAUAUGGCUGCCACUCUCACGAGCUCUGACCAACUGAAUAUUCACAAAAGUAUAUACUCAAAGGACAGACGCGAUAGGGGAAAGAAUACUAUAUAAAAUAACCAGGAAGCAAAUGGUUUACUCUCAACCUCAAUACAGAUGAUCUUUCUCUGUACCACACACAUGUACUGCACACUUCAUCAUUUCAACUUCCACAGCCUGGAGAGGCCUUCAUCUUCUUCUUAGCCCCUGUCAUCAACAGCUAUCUCUAGAGAGCCCGAUGACAGCUCUAUCUAGUGGGGGGAAACCACAUCCUCAUUUUUUUCUCUUCAGAACAUCCUCGGCCUAUGACAUAUACCACUGUCUAAUAAGAUGGGUUUCCCAGGCCAGCAUGAUGGGGACCAGUUAUCUCUUCCCUGACAGCAGCUGGAAUUCUAGCAGCUGCCUCUAGGCAAAUGGCAUGCAGUAGCAGAUGACAGGCCCAGUAGUAAGAUUUAUCAAAUACUGCCUACAUAAUAAUAACAAAAACAAUAAUAAUAAUAAUAAUAAAUUUAAUUGAAUGCUCAUUUCUUCUCUUGUGAUCUUGUAUUAUUAAAUUGCUAAGUUUUAUAUUAUGCAUUUGUAUUGCUAAAGUAAUAACUGUUAAUUACUCUAGAGGCAUAAAAACAACUCUAAUAAUGAAAACAAAUUAGAAAAAUUUAGUAAUGAGUUAUCAUUUUUAUACUUUGUCUAUGUUCCAUUUUCUAUCUCUAUACCAAUAAGCAGAACAUAGUCAAGAUGCUAAGAGAGACUUAACCAGUCAUGGUGUAGUUGGAAAUCAGGAAAUGAAGUCUUUUGCCAAUGACGCUAUCACUAACCAUGUGGACUUAAAGUCUCCUUGCCUUGCUGGGAUUCAGUUUCCAUCUGUAAGUAAGAAAAGAAUGGUUUACAGCCCGGCAAUGGUGGCACUUGGGAGGCAGAGGCAGGUGGACCUCUGUGAGUUCAAGGCCAGCCUGGUCUACAGAGAAAGUUCCAGGAAGGCUCCAAAGCUACAGAGAAACCCUGUACUGAAAAACAAAAAAUAAGAAGAAUGAUUCAGACUUGCAGGUGGAGAAGGCUUCUUCUUUCUACCAAGUGCCCCUGUGCUGUUUGAUCUCUCUGCAUCGUUAGCAUCGAUUCCAGUUCUUGUUUGAGGUUAUAAUUGGUUUUGUUUUUCUAAGCUCCAUGGUGUUCUCAUCCUCCAGUUCUCAACUUGUCACCCCUCAGAGAAGGUUCUGCACACGUCUCCUGUUUGAAAGUUAAAAUAGAUGUAGAUGAUUAUAUAUGCAGAUGUAUAUGUAUACUUUCUACUGUCUGAAAGGUAAAGGAGAUGUAGAUGAUUAUAUAUGCAGAUGUAUAUGUAUACCUUUUACUGUUUGAAAGGUAAAAUAGAUGUAGAUGAUUAUAUAUGCACACAUAUAUUCAUGCCUUUUACUGUUUGAAAGGUACUGUUUGAAGGGACGCAGCAUCUAAAGAAAGAAAGGUCUAAGAAAGAGACAGGAAUGAGAGAACU